rnacentral:rRNA from 2 species
CUUACUGAAAGUGCGCGGGCUAAUAAUGCAGGUCGAACGAACUCUGGUAUUGAUUGGUGCUUGCAUCAUGAUUUACAUUUGAGUGAGUGGCGAACUGGUGAGUAACACGUGGGAAACCUGCCCAGAAGCGGGGGAUAACACCUGGAAACAGAUGCUAAUACCGCAUAACAACUUGGACCGCAUGGUCCGAGUUUGAAAGAUGGCUUCGGCUAUCACUUUUGGAUGGUCCCGCGGCGUAUUAGCUAGAUGGUGGGGUAACGGCUCACCAUGGCAAUGAUACGUAGCCGACCUGAGAGGGUAAUCGGCCACAUUGGGACUGAGACACGGCCCAAACUCCUACGGGAGGCAGCAGUAGGGAAUCUUCCACAAUGGACGAAAGUCUGAUGGAGCAACGCCGCGUGAGUGAAGAAGGGUUUCGGCUCGUAAAACUCUGUUGUUAAAGAAGAACAUAUCUGAGAGUAACUGUUCAGGUAUUGACGGUAUUUAACCAGAAAGCCACGGCUAACUACGUGCCAGCAGCCGCGGUAAUACGUAUGUGGCAAUCGUUGUCCGGAUUUAUUGGGCGUAAAGCAAGCGCUGGCGGUUUUUUAAGUCUGAUGUGAAAGCCUUCGGCUCAACCGAAGAAGUGCAUCGGAAACUGGUAUACUUUAGUGCUGAAGAGGACAGUGGAACUCCCUUUU